GACGAACGCUGGCGGCGUGCUUAACACGUGCAAGUCGAACGGAGCACCCUUGAUUGAGGUUUCGGCCAAAUGAUAGGAAUGCUUAGUGGCGGACUGGUGAGUAACGCGUGAGGAACCUGCCUCUCAGAGGGGGACAACAGUUGGAAACGACUGCUAAUACCGCAUGACACAUUCGGGCGGCAUCGCCUGGAUGUCAAAGAUUUUAUCGCUGAGAGAUGGCCUCGCGUCUGAUUAGCUAGUUGGUGAGGUAACGGCCCACCAAGGCGACGAUCAGUAGCCGGACUGAGAGGUUGACCGGCCACAUUGGGACUGAGAUACGGCCCAG
rnacentral:rRNA from 1 species